GCAGGACCGAUAUCAGUGCAUUCAAUGGAGUCCCAAAAACCAAGGCGUUAACGUUACAGGGAAUUGGGAAAGCGGAAUUGAAUAUGACUGGGCCGGAGAUUUGCGUGGCUCAUAGAUUCAAGAAGUUGGUAAUAGAGUCUCUGGGGAAUGAUACUACUCCUCUGUAUAUAGUAAUACAGGGGAUAGCUUGUAGUAGAGGAAGGACAGCUAAUUGUGCACAAUAUAGAAACUACUAUGAAGACAAGUUGAACGUCACACAUACCCAGAUCAUGGUGGGAGUAGCAGAGAUAGUGUUAAAAGGAAAGUGUCAGAAGGUUGCUGCUUAUCAACCGUUGGGACCCAAAGUUUACACAGUAACAAGGGUGUUCACAAAGGGGUGGGGUGUAGUUCGGCCUUGGGAUGAGAGAUGUGUACCUAACCUGAGCACAGGGAAGUAUUAUCCACAGAUACCGACUGUAGCAGAACAUAGGAUGUCAUUGGAGAUGUUGGUGGCUUGAAAGUCGGGUAGGAGUUGGGAGACAGGUAGGGAGUACCUGAAAGAUUCAGUCGCAGAUCUAUCGGUGAACCACAAGGGCAAUAGGAGAUCAGAAGCAGGAAACAGAUUCAAUGCAAUAGAUAUUCUCACAGCAGUCGCUGUAAGGACAGCAACUGAAGGAUGCUAUAUUAACAGCAUGGAACUGGACUACGGAGCAAAUGAGGGGUAUCUUGAAGAACCUGAAGGAGGAACUGGAGAAAGUCACCAUGAGCAGAGCGCAUGCAGAGCGAGCUGCGCACAGGGAUCGAGUGACAGACAGAGAAGAGCAGCUAAUGGAUUUACUAAUGGAGGUUAUUUCUGAAGUCGGACCUUAAAUUUGCCAGAAGCAAUUGGGCCUGGGUAGGGUAGGGCCUGAACGUCAAGGGCAUAGGCGGCGCCGCAGAUCCCCAAUCUCCUCCUGAGCCUCGGACUUGAUGUCAUUAGCGAU